CCCUGGGGAGGAAUGGGAGAGGGAGGAGGACGCCAGGGGCACAGGGACAGCCUCCGGGGCGGGGCGCGGCGCCAGCCUAGCCCGAGGAUGGAGGCUGAGGCCGCCUGUUGAGUCACAGUUUCCCUGUGAUGCUCAUUUUAACCAGAUGGCACUUGCUUAGCAGUUUGGAGGAGAAGACCUGUUCCCCUGCAGAAAUGGGGUUUCUCCAUGUUGCCUGGUCUGGUCUUGAACUCCUGGGCUCAAACGAUCUGUCCAUCUUGGCUUCCCAAAACCUGAAGCCAGGCCAGCCUUCCAUGAUUAGACCUCAACUCAUGAGAACUCUUGCCUUGCUCACAAGUGGGAGUAAAUGCUCAUAGCUCUAGAAAUCUCCCAGGAACCAGACAUCACGGAAACUAGAAAGGCUAAGGGAGUCCAAUCUUCCUCUAAAUUGGCCAACAGUAGAGUGGUGGAAAGAGAACAAGCUGCAAACCAGACAGACCCAAGCUUGAAUCUCACCUCUGCCAAGCUACCAGGGACCUACCCCGAACUUUCAUGAACCCCUGGUAGCUGAAUAGCAGCUUGUCUAAGCGAGGUGCAGGGAUUUUGUCAAAGUCGGCCUCGGUGUUAAAGGCAGGGCCACCUACCAUGAACUUCUCUCUGUGACUUUAUUCUUUAGCAGUGCUCAAGUGUAAAUAAACUUGUUUACCAGGAUCAGAAUGGCCAUGUUAAUGAAGUCUUAUUUGUGUCACCACAAUGACAAGUAAUUUGUGCACAGCUGGACUCGGAGAGGGGACAAAACCAGAGAAAUUGUAUUUCUGUUCUGAAGUUUCCAUACAGAUGCCUUAGGCCAAAGUUAGUACAGCCAAUAUUUGCCUGUUUCUUUGGAUUGUGUGUCCAUGCUGGAGAAAAGCCUUGUUACUGUGCCCAGUGUGGUAAACGAAAUUAUAUGUACGCAGUGAGAAGAAAAAUGAAAUAAGAAGCACUGAUGAAUGUACCCACGGGUGUGACCUUGGGGGCCAGUGUGUGGUUUUUAUGAAAUGAACGCAUGAAUACGAGGACCCUAAUUAUUGCUUUCAACGGACAAAGUAUGGUGAAUAUAUAGAGAACGUUGCUGUACAACACUGGCUGUGUCUCAAAGCGGCUUUAGAAGUAAAUAUAGAAAUUCUUUGGUACAUGGUAUUGCAUAGAAAAGUCAUUAAGAAAAAAGCAAGACAAUUUGUUAAGACCUUGUUAAGUGGAGCUGGGGGAUGAUUAAUUUUGUUUGUUUGUUUUUGUUGUUCCCUGGUAGAGCUCAACAAACUACAGACCACGGGCCAAAUCUGACCCACCGCUGCUUUUGUAAAUAAAACUUUAUUGGAAAAAAGCCA
ensembl:lncRNA LUNAR1 leukemia-associated non-coding IGF1R activator RNA 1